UAGUGGUGCAGCGUAGCUAAAAUUUCCAUAAAAAUUGUUAAUUUUGUGAUAAACGCAUGGAAUUUGGCACACAUAUUCUAAAUUAACUAAUGUUUAUUUUGAGAUAUGGAACCAUCCUGGACCUGACCUAUAAUGAGCUACAGGGGUCAAAAUGUAAACAUGGUCCACUCA